GAUGAACGCUGGCGGCGUGCCUAAUACAUGCAAGUCGAGCGAACAGACGAGGAGCUUGCUCCUCUGACGUUAGCGGCGGACGGGUGAGUAACACGUGGAUAACCUACCUAUAAGACUGGGAUAACUUCGGGAAACCGGAGCUAAUACCGGAUAAUAUAUUGAACCGCAUGGUUCAAUAGUGAAAGACGGUUUUGCUGUCACUUAUAGAUGGAUCCGCGCCGCAUUAGCUAGUUGGUAAGGUAACGGCUUACCAAGGCGACGAUGCGUAGCCGACCUGAGAGGGUGAUCGGCCACACUGGAACUGAGACACGGUCCAGACUCCUACGGGAGGCAGCAGUAGGGAAUCUUCCGCAAUGGGCGAAAGCCUGACGGAGCAACGCCGCGUGAGUGAUGAAGGUCUUCGGAUCGUAAAACUCUGUUAUUAGGGAAGAACAAAUGUGUAAGUAACUAUGCACGUCUUGACGGUAGCUAAUCAGAAAGCCACGGCUAACUACGUG
rnacentral:rRNA from 1 species